rnacentral:rRNA from 1 species
AAAUGAAUAGACGGGGACCCGCACAAGCAGCGGAGCAUGUGGUUUAAUUCGAAGCAACGCGAAGAACCUUACCUGGACUUGACAUCCCUUGGCCCGCUUCUUAACCGAAGCUUUCCCUUCGGGGACUGAGGAGACAGGUGGUGCAUGGUUGUCGUCAGCUCGUGUCGUGAGAUGUUGGGUUAAGUCCCGUAACGAGCGCAACCCUUGUCUUUAGUUGCCAUCACUUAGGGUGGGCACUCUAAAGAGACUGCCAAGGUUAACUUGGAGGAAGGUGGGGAUGACGUCAAAUCAUCAUGCCCCUUAUGUUCAGGGCUACACACGUGCUACAAUGGCCGAUACAAAGGGUAGCGAAAGAGUAAUCUGGAGCCAAUCCCAUAAAGUCGGUCCCAGUUCGGAUUGUGGGCUGCAACUCGCCCACAUGAAGUCGGAGUUGCUAGUAAUCGUGGAUCAGCAUGCCACGGUGAAUGCGUUCCCGGGUCUUGUACACACCGCCCGU